AGCCAUGGCUCAGUUGUAGAGUAUCUGCUUUGUAUGCAGAAGGUCUCAGGUUCGAUUCCCCACAUCUCCUGGUAGGGCUG